AUCAAGGCAACAAUAGCGGAACGAGCCAAUGCCUUUAAACUACAUUAUGAAUUGGCUGAAACGACCAAGCUGAAGGAGAUUAAUCUCGACAAGCUGAUGCUUAUCCGUUCUGAGAAGGCCGGAGAAGCUGAAAUUGAAUAUAGAGGGUUGAAAGCAGACAGCGAAGAGGCGACUGCAAGAUUUGAGACGAUUGUCAAAUUGAUGAACGAAG
rnacentral:misc_RNA from 1 species